rnacentral:rRNA from 1 species
CUGAGAGGUGGUGCAUGGCCGUGUCAGUUCGUACUGUGAAGCAUCCUGUUAAGUCAGGCAACGAGCGAGACCCACGUCCACAGUUGCCAGCAUACCCUCCGGGGUGAUGGGUACACUGUGGAGACCGCCGCUGCUAAAGCGGAGGAAGGAAUGGGCAACGGUAGGUCAGUAUGCCCCGAAUCUCCCGGGCUACACGCGGGCUACAAUGGUUGGUACAAUGGGCAUCUACCCCGAAAGGGGAAGGAAAUCUCUUAAAGCCAAUCGUAGUUCGGAUUGAGGGCUGCAACUCGCCCUCAUGAAGCUGGAAUCCGUAGUAAUCGCGUUUCAACAGAACGCGGUGAAUACGUCCCUGCUCCUU